CGAUCCUCCCAUCUCAGCCUCCCGAGUAGCUGGGACUACAGGCGCGCGCCACCGCGUCCGGCGCUCGCAAGAGCUGCAAAAACGUACUAGAGGCUACGGGUGUGGUGACGUCACGGGGGGAGGGACGAGUCCGGGGCGUGGAGAGCUUGGGCACGCCUGGCGAGAGGCGGUCUUCAGGCUUGAUUCGCGUGACGUCAUCUGGGCGGGGCUGUUGUCCUGCCCCCUCUGGGUUCCCGGUGAGGAAAGUCACCUGACCUGUAGUGGGCGCGGCUUCCGGUGUUUUGCUGCAAAGCUGCGUGCGUUACUGUUUAACAGAAAUUGGUCAGCCUGCGCUUAAUACUCGUAGUGUCAUCAAUUCUCAAGACUGUCAAAUCUGUAACUCCAAUCUGAUGCUUUUGUGGAGCUCCAUAUCUACAUUUCUAGCCACCUUCUGGAUGUCACCUUGAAAUCGUUCAAAACUUCAAAUUCAUUUGCAAGCAAAACCGAUCACCUCUUCCUCCAUUGCUCGAUGCUCCUAUAUUCACACUGUCUAUUAAAGAUAUUUAGUUGCUCACCUCAGAAUCCUGAGUCAUCUUUAACUACUGUUUCAUUCAAUACCAAAUAUUCAUUUCUUGCCUUUCUAAUGACAGGCACUGUGUUACAUGAUGAGGAUGUAGUAGUGAAGAAAAGAAACACACGGAAGAGACAAGCAAAAAGUUAUAAUUACAAACUGCGAUAAGUGCUAGUAAAAGAACCCAGACACUGUAAUAUAAAUAAUGGUGGCAAGAAAGGGGAAGGGAUCUUCUUUAGAGAAGGUACUCGGGUAAGCCUCUUUGAGGAGGUGUUAUUUAAAUUAGAGUUUGAAGAAUGAGGCAUUAGUUAAGGUACUUCGAUUGCAAACAAGAAUUGUUUGUAGACGGAAAUAAACGAACUUCUCUUAAGGAAUUGAUUGGAAGAAAAUGGCGCUAGAUGGCGUCAGUGCAGACACACUGCAGUGUCCCUGCUUUAACCAUGCAAAUGAGGAAAAAUAUCCUAGUAGAUGACAGAGGAUCAAGAGGAGAGACACCAGGCGCCAUGGGUGAAUUAAUGGAGUGGAGCCACCUUGCCAGUCUGUGUGCCACCCCUAACUCUGGAAUGUUAUAUGAGAAAUAAGCUUCUAUUUCAUUUAAAUCAUUAUGUCUUGGGGGUCUCUAUUACUGCAGCAUACUCUGUACUCUACCAGAUGUAGGGAAGUUCACAAAAGAAAAUCCCGGAUAACCAGAAUUCUGAAAGAGCAGAAACCAAAAGAGCUCCAGGUAUCUACAGGAUACCCCAACGGAAGGAACCAUCUUCAACCUCCUGUAAGAAGAGUCCGAUUUUCUAGUUUCAGUUCUGUAUUCUACAAUCUUUAUUUAUAGUCAUAUCCAUUUAUAUAAUUGUGUUGUAAAUAAAACUUUUGUGUUCUGCUUUU